UGGUGAUCAAGCCUACUACUGUUGACCAAGCGGCGCCGAUUACUGUUCGACUUGAGAAGGGCGCUCCUCCCUCACCACUUUUUCUUGUUCAUGUCACGGGCUGUAGCCGGGUGCACCGUGGCUCAGGUUAAUAGACCUCCCUCAGUGUUGGCACUGCUAUUUCCUACCUGACUGGAGGAGUUGAAGGCGGAACACGCCUCAUACUUACGGCAGCAGCCGGAUCUCCGCCGCCACGAUGGCCGACUUCUUGCAGAAUACUUCCCGUUACUACGAAAAACCGAGCGACGUCAUCAUGUUCGCCCUCAAGGACUUCUCUCCCCUCGCAUCCCCCCCGAUCCCUGGGGGGCACAUUCAACACCGUACCUUGAGGACACACACUGGGGCUGCGUCUCAAUAGUCUAGUAGCUUCCUCUCACAGGCACUUUAGUGAGGACAAUACUCUUCUGGUUAGCAGUUGCCACUAGUAUGUACAGUGGCCCUCAAUAUCUAGAGUAUUGAUGAAAUAUGAAUGCUUUUAUGGUGUUUUGUUUUUUACUGUGUACUGUUCUUAUUUGCAUGAGCUUUAUUGAAACAAAGUCCAAUCAACUCUGUUGAUAUAGCAAUUGAUAUAGCAAUAGCAAUAAAAUUUAUUAUUUAAUGUCUUA